AAAAUAAAAUAAAAUUUUAGUGGCCUAAUUACAAAAAAAUUCAUUUUGUGACCAUAAUAAAAUUCAAUAACUAAUUUUAGUGACCAUUGGUGCAGUUUAGGUGAAAAUAUAAUACAGUGAAUCGUCAGGAUGAGCUUGCCUCAAUGCUUGCAGAAGUUGCCUCAAGGCUUGCAGAAGAUACUUCAAUGGGAUCCUCUUGUUCCCAGUUCAGAAUCUCCUUUGCAUAUCUAAGAGCAUCGUUAACAUUAUCAGGUUCCAAUGCUGUAACUGGUGAAACAAACAGCUUCUCAUCAGUCAGAGAACGGAACAAUCUCUUAAACUUAACUGCGAUAUAUUGGAAUGCGCGUUGAGCCAAUGAUGGGUUGGUGUUUCUGGAUCUGCUGGUGCUGCAGGCGUUGGGAUUAUGACCAAUCACUGGAUUGAAGUCAUGAAACCAUUCGCAGCGGGUGAGUGGAACCUGUUCAAUCUUUUCCUCCAGCAAAUCAAAUUUGUUCAGCAUGAGAAGAAAUUUCUUGUCUUCAAACGUUGGAUGAGUAACAAUACUUUCAAAUAGAUUCUUGCUUGCUAUCAUCUUAUUAAUGGAAACCCCAUUACUGUCUUCAACAAACUCAUCAUAGUCGAUCAACGAAACACAAAAUAAGACCAUGUCAACAUCUUCAAACAUUUCCAACCACUUGCAGUUUCCUCCAAGAAUUUUUGGGUGCACUCUGAUGAGUUGGUACCUCUGCAAAGGAUCAUGCUCGUCAUGUUCAUAGAUGUCUUCAUCUUGCUUAGAAA
rnacentral:misc_RNA from 1 species